rnacentral:lncRNA from 1 species
ACUGUAGAAUAGAUACACAAGCAUUUCGCACAAGCAACUGUUUUCUUACAUUAGCUAUAGGGAUGCAAAAAUGAAUUCCAGCCAUGAUUCUGUUAAGCACUUAUAUCUUGACUAGUCUGUCUCUUUAAUGGGACUGACGUAUAGAAGGUUUAGCAGAUUCAGUAUGAUGAAGAAUAACGACCAUAAACUUAUCCAAUAAGAAGCUUUGUAUGUUCAGUCAUGCCUGUGCCUAAGUUUAUUUAAAUAAUGAAACCAAACCAGUUGGGUUAUGUGUGCUACUUCUAGAAUAUAUUGGCUCAUGUUACUGGAGCUACUAUUAAUUUCUUAAUUAACCAACAAUCAGAUUGCUCAGGCCCUGCUAUUUCCAUUUACUUACCUUUUCUAUGUAUUUUACAGCCUUUGGACCCGGAAGGUGUGCAAUAAACAGUGGGGGUUGCUGGUCAGAAACUAAAUACGGACAAACGCUUUCAGCUUGCUCAGUUCAGUGAUGUCCUUUUUUUUUUUUUCCAAUUGUACUACAUCUUGACAUUGUAUUCAGCUAAAAUUUUAUAUCUUGUAUAGGAUUCCGAUAUAACAGGCUGUCGAUGCCCACAUGGUUUUCAGGGGGAUGGCCAUAAAUGUGAAGGUACUUCGUGCUCUUUCUUUUGGUCAUCUCCAGACCUUACUAUAGGGUUUGACAUAUAUAACUUAUAUUUUUCUUUUGGACAUGGACCAGAUAUUAAUGAAUGCUCAGAAGGUCUUGCUUGUCAAUGUGAGGGCUGUUCCUGCAAGAAUACGUGGGGUGGAUAUGGCUGCAAGUGCAAGGGGGAGAAACUUUAUAUAAUGGAGCAAGACACAUGUAUUGGUAAUAAUAAACUCUCUAUAUAAAGCAUCUACUACAGUAACUAAAAUUAUAAUAUAUUUUAAACAUUAUGCAGAGAUGGCAUCUUAGUAGGACUUCCAGUAGAUUUAUCUGUUAUUUAUGUACUAGGUUGUGUUUUGAAUUUAAGGGCUGAAGUUAAUGUUGGUUAAGGAAAGCUGCUUCGUCAAAAUUUAGGUGUUAAGUUAUAAUUUACUAUUUUUCAUUAAAAUGUGACUUCAUCACUAUUCUACUUCGAAGCAUUCAUACAACAGCUUUAUGCGUUCAAGCUCCUGCAUGUUGUUGGAACAUCUAGGGUCGAUGAAUUACAUUUUAGUAGAUCUAAUGAGAUAAAUUUUUGUUUCUUUAUUUUUCUGCCUUCCUACUACAGAAAGAAAUUCUACAAAAUUUGGAUGGUUCCUAGCCUUGUUGAUCUUAGGGGCAGUUGUUUCUGCUGCUUUUGCUGGCUAUAUCUUCUACAAAUAUAGGUUCCGGGUAAGCAGAAUAAUUUUCACCAAAUAUAUAUUUUCUUACAUGCUGGUACCAGGAUCACUACUCACUUAACUAUAUAUUUCUUUCUGUAGUCUUAUAUGGACUCCGAGGUAAUGGCCAUUAUGUCUCAGUACAUGCCACUUGACAGUCAGCAUCAUAACCAAGUCACUCAACAUGAAAAUGGGUCCCUACGACAAGGCAGCUCCGGCGUAUAAUAAAGGUACUUAUGUCAUGGACUGUGCCUUCCUAUGUGACCUUUUGUAUCAUUUCUUUUAUUGUUUUCUACCCACUUUUUGUUGACAAAAACCAUUUACCAUGCAGAAGCUGCAGAAUUACAUACAUCUUAUAAGCCAUUGGUGGUCAAUAAUGGCGAUAUUGUUAGAGACAUUUAGACGAUUUUCACACAACUCAGCAUACGGUGCACAGUUGAGAUGAUUCUGAAAUUUGAAAUAUCCGGGAUACUUGUUUACUGAACCCUUCCCUCCUCUUUUCUUGUUUUGAUGUAUAUACUUUGUUGAGAUGUAGAUGGAGGACCAUAGUUACUGUUACACUUAUAUAGUUGAUGUAUAUAUUUAUAAAAGAAAUAUUAGAAUGGAAUAAAUAAGUUGAUGGUUUCCACAAGCUGUCUCUUUCUUAUUUCAAAGGUCUUGAUAAAGUGAAAGCCUAAAGACGAUAUAAAGAAUGCAGUAUGAGAAUAACUUCACAGACACUGAAGAGUAUAGGAGUAGGGGAUUAGUUUUUUCCUUGAAUUAUUCUUAUUAUUUGAUUAUUUAUGAUUAUACAGAGAUUAUUCAUCCCAUGUUAUGUCAUACAAUAUGCACCUGUUGCUGAUCAUUUAAAAUUUAGUUCACAUGAUGUGCAAGAGCCCAACAUUGAACUCUUUCAACGGAGUGCUAGCCAGAAAACGUACGAAUGAUGCUAACAUAUGUCUCGAGGGGAAGAAAAAAAAAUGUUGGAUGUGAAAAAUUCCUGGAAUGAGACAAUUUUCCACUGUAUGAUAUUACAUCCUUUGUAUAUAUAUUAAAAUUUUAGCGUUAAGCAUAGGCACGCGAAUGAGGACGUGGACUCAAGAAAAAAGUGAAGCAGAAGUUAGAAUUAAGUUAAAAUUUAUAAGCGAUUAAAAUGUUUGAAAAAUAAGUGGAAACAAUAAAACAAAAGUUAGCAUUCCUAAUUUUUUAGGGCAAAUUAAUUUAUAGGUCCUUGAAUUAUUGACGUUUUAUUGUCUAGGUCCCUGAACUAAAGAUUCCGUAUUUCAGGUCACUUAACUUUUCUAUUUUCUGAUCUAAGUCCUUCCGUCAAAAAGAUUCUAACGGUGUUAACUAGGGUUCUUGAGUUUCAUACAGAUCAAAGCAAUUUUGAAGGUGUUAGUGAUAUCCAAACUCAAAGUUCAAAUAGUCAAAUUGAAGUUUGAAUCACUAGCGACACUCAUAUGACAACAAUUUUCACAAAUUAGAUUUAAUUUUAAAAAGCCCUAAAUUUGACCAUAAAUUUAGGGUUCUUUAUCGAAUUUAGUGACCUGAAUUUAUAAAAUUUUAAAUUGAACAUAAUUUUUGAAAAUUGGUGUCAUAUGAGUGUCGCCAGCGACUCAAGCUUCAAUUUGACUACUUGAACUUUGAAUUUGGAUAUCACUAACACCUUCAAAAUUGCUUUGAUCUGUAUGAAACUCAAGAACCCUAGUUAACACUGUUAGAAUCUUUUUGACAGAAGGACUUAGAUCAGAAUACAAAAAAGUUAAGUGACCUGAAAUACGGAAUCUUUAGUUCAGGGACCUAGACAAUAAAACGUCAAUAGUUCAGGGACCUGCAAUUUAAUUUUCCCAAUUUUUUAUAAGUACUUCUUGAUUUUUUACACAAACGGUACAAAUAAGUGCUUUUAACUUAUAAUUCCUAAGUCCGGCUUAAAAGAGCGAGCCAACCACCCACUAAGUGAAUUUAGAAGAAUUUGCACUUGAAAUAAAGCUGAAGUUGGUAGCGAUACACUCAUUCACCCCUUCUUUUACGUCAACAGUGAACACCCAUUUCUCCCUCCUAACAUUCUUCCCUGUAUCUAUCUCUGUAUCUCUAUAUUCCAAAACAAGUCUCCUCUUGACUUCUCUCUCUCUCUCUCGACUAUAUGUUUCUCUUCUUUAUCUCUCCCAGCUCACAAACUCCACACCCCCAUCUUCUCUUCUCACACAACCAUGUCAAGAAGCUUGCUGGGUGUUCUUUUUUGUGUCAUUUUCGUGAGUGUAAAUGGGAGAUUUGUGGUGGAGAAAGAGAGCAUAAGAGUGCUCUCGCCUUAUAAGCUAAGGUCGAAGCAUGAUGCUGCUAUUGGUAACUUCGGAGUCCCUAAAUAUGGAGGUUCUAUGGUGGGGUCCAUGGUGUAUUCUCAUCAGAAUUCUUAUGCGUGUAAGCCUUUUGAUGAUGAAAAAAAGCAGCCCUUUAAGACCCACAUUCUUCUUGUUGAUCGUGGAGGUAACUGUGUGUGUUAUUUUUUUCUUUUUUAUGUUGUCACAAAAUUUUAGUGCCUUUUAAAAUUUAUUUGAGACCUUGUACUUGCAACUAAAAUGUUAUGUUUAUUAAGGUGCGUUACUUAUUUGUUUUAUUUGGAAUGUGGAAUUUUAUGAACACUGGCUAAUCCUAGUAUGCAUGCAUUUGGUAAGAGUGAAUAAAUAGGGCUUUUUUAGGAGCCAAAAUUUUAAUGCUUUUGAUUCUUUUAAUUGGUACAUGGAUAGGUAUACAAGCACUUAGGCAUCUCCAACCAUCACUCUAAAUUUUAUAUUGCUUCACAUUUAAUUUUAUAAAUAGAGUAAUCCAUCUCUAAUCAUCCAUUACUCUAUCUUUAUAUAUAAAGUCAUGCACUAUCCUACUCUAUAUAUGAAGUUGAACUUGAAGAUAAAGCACAAAUUACUUUAUUUAUAAAAUGAAGUAAUGGUUGGAAAUGGAAUAAAGAUAUAAAGUGAAAAAGGUGAAAAUGAAGAUGAAGUUGCUUUAUUUAUAAAAUUAUGAUUGGAGAUGGUCUUAAUCGAAGUAAAUGUAAGAUUUUAAAGUCUCCUUAUUUGUAUAUCCUCUGUUUGUACUCUGUACCAGUGUUACGAUUUCUCCAUUUGAGUCCAUGAGAACUAAUUUUUGCUUUCAUGCAUCUUCUACGAAUUUACUACUCUGUAUAGCAAUGCUAUAACAGAGUGUUCCUGAAUCCUGAAUGCUCAUUUUGGCGCUUCUGUGUCCUUAAGUCUCCUUUCCACCAUCAUACGGAGUAACCACUCCUGACCUCCUGUCAUUUCUUGCCGAUUCUAUAUUAAAUUGUUCUUGAGGGAGGGAGAGUGUGUCAGUGAAGUUACUAGAACAUUUGAACCAGAGAUUUUGUAGCCAGGUAAAAUUGUUGGACACAUUACUCAUGAGUCAUGAUUAUUAAUGUAAGAAAAACUUAAUACACAGAAACACUCUAUGGCUGUACUUAAGAUUUAGUAAGUUGGCUUAUUAAUUGAAAGAGCAUGCUGACUACAUGAUCUCAUCUACUUUUGUACUGGUCUCUGUCUAUUAGGAUAGCUCGUCUUCAACGUGAACAUUCUUAUUGAUAGUUUAAGAGUCUUUAUUUUUGACUUUUUGUUUACCCUAUGGCAAUCAACUGUUCCUCGGUUUAACUAAUAUGAUUCCUCUUUAAUUGUGUCUAUACUAAUUUUAAUGUGUAUGAUCAAGUUAAGUCGAUUUUUCAUAUUUGACCAUAUAAUGCUUAUCAUCUCUUAAAUGCCUGGACAAGAUUUAUUUAAAUGUAGAAGAAAAUAUGGAACAUAGGUACUUUCUAAUUUUUAAAUUUGUUUCAUUUUUUUCCCAGAGUGCUUCUUUGCUUUGAAGGUUUGGAAUGCGCAACAAGCAGGUGCUGCAGCUGUUUUGGUGACUGACGACAGAGAUGAGCCUCUCAUAACUAUGGAGUCUCCCGGAGAAAAUGCUGAUGCAGAUGGCUACAUUGACAAGAUUGGAAUUCCAUCAGCUUUAAUUGAUCGAUCGUUUGGUGAGACUUUGAAAGCUGCUGUACAGAAAGCUGAAGAAGAUGUGGUAAUUAAAUUGGACUGGAGAGAGUCAAUGCCCAACCCGGAUCAGAGGGUUGAGUAUGAGUUUUGGACUAACAGCAAUGAUGAUUGUGGAAUUCGCUGUGAUGAGCAAAUGAAUUUUUUCAAGGACUUCAAAGGACAUGCACAGAUUCUUGAAAAGGGUGGUUACACCAUGUUUACACCACACUAUAUAACAUGGUUUUGUCCUGCGCCUUUGGUUCUGAGCGACCAGUGCAAGUCUCAGUGCAUAAACCAUGGGAGAUAUUGUGCACCUGAUCCAGAAAAGAAUUUUGGGAUGGGGUAUCAAGGAAAAGAUGUGGUAUUCGAGAAGUUGAGACAGCUUUGUGUGCACAGGGUUGCUAAGGAGAGCAACCGAUCUUGGGUUUGGUGGGAUUUUGUGACAGAUUUUCACAUUAGGUGCUCAAUGAAGGAAAAGAGGUAUAGCAAAGAAUGUGCUGAGGAUGUCUUGAAGUCCUUGAGUAAGUACUCUUCUAUCAAAUAGUGUGCAUACAAUCACAUUCCUAUAAUUCUUCAGCGAUUUAUCCUUAUAAAUUUAUUGGACAACCAGAUCUGCCAGUUGAGAAGAUAAAAGAUUGCAUGGGUGACCCUGAAGCUGAUGUUGAAAAUGAUGUCCUAAAAAUUGAACAAUAUCGGCAGGUUCAUAUUCCUGCGAUUUUAUAGUACCCUGAAUUUAUUAUGCGUGUUGUCCGUGCUAAUAAUAGUACAAUGUUUCUGAUUUAUAUAUAGGUUGGACGAGGAUCUCGUGGCGAUGUUACUAUCUUACCGACAUUAAUCAUUAACGAUGUUCAGUAUAGAGGUAUCUUGUGAUUGCUCUUCUAUUGUAUUUCUCGUAUGUCAGAGUCAAUUACUCUAUCAUGCCAUAAUUUUAAUCUGGAACACCAAAUAUCUCUUUGGACCUCAGUUCGAUCCGUCUCAUCUGCAUCAAAAUCCAUAAUCUUAUAACAAUAUUGUGACAAAAUUAUCUUACACUUGUUGCUAUUGUAUAUAAUAGUAAUAUUAAUAUUCUUGUAAACUUUUAUCAAAAGAAGAAAACGUCUGAAACGUGGUAAUUCAUUAAAUUAUGCAAUAAUUUUUGGACUUCCUGAGAAAGGUCUAAAUAUAGACUUGAUGAACUAUUAAGUUCAAAAGAUAUAAGAAAUUGGUCCGCGAUUUAUACAAAAAAGACGAGAUGCCUGGCUGGUUUACUGGAUUGGUCACUCUUACUAACAAAUUAAGUGGGACAACUCUAUCAUAGUGCAUUGAUUGUAGUGGAUUUUGCAUGUUCUUUUCCUCUCUUUAUGGUUUUUGGUUCUUUGCAGUUGUGCAUCUUUUUCUUAUUCAUACAAAGAAUAUACCUCAAUUGGUAAUUCGCCCGAGUAAAUGUGUCUGCUCUUUGGAAAGUGCCUUCGUAUACGUCCUUGGGAUUAGAAGAAAUGUUAUGGUAACUUAUCUGGAUAUAUUAAUUGUAUUUGCCACAGGAAAACUUGAGAGAACUGCUGUGCUGAAGGCCUUAUGUGCUGGAUUUCAGGAGACUACUGAGCCUCCAAUUUGUUUAAGUGGAGGUUAGUUGUUAACUCUUAUAUAUACUCAUUAGAUAUAUGUGCCCAUAUCUCUGCCUAUAACUAAUUAUGAUAAAUAGAUCUGGAGACCAAUCAGUGCCUUGAGAGGAAUGGUGGUUGCUGGGGAGACUCAAAAUCUAAUAUAACUGCUUGCAAGGUAUGCUAAAACGGCGUACCGCUGCCUAAAUAUAAUUAAUUUUCAUCACUAUUAUGUACCCGACAACAUGUUCUCCUGAAAAUAUUAUAUGAGUCACAAUUUAUCGUAAUUUAUAGGACACAUUUAGAGGAAGAGUAUGUGAGUGUCCCGUGGUCAAUGGGGUGCAAUAUAAAGGCGAUGGAUACAUGUCUUGUGAAGGUAGAGAUUUCAUUAUAAGCUAACACAUGAUGAUCUAAACUUUCACAAUUUUGAUGCGAAUUGAUGCUUCCUAUUUAAUAAAAAUGAUGCCUGUGUAAAACUUUUGCCAUCUAGAGAAGGAAAGAUCCACAUCUGUACUAAGUCUCUCACUGUAGAAUAAAUACACAAGCAUUUACCAAAAGCAACUGUUUUCUUACAUUAGCUAUAGGGAUGCAAAAAUGAAUUCUAGCCAUGAUUCUGUUAAGCACUUCUAUCUUGACUAGUCUGUCUCUUUUAUGGGACUGACAUAUAGAGAGGUUUAGCAGAUUCAAUAUGAUGAAGAACAAUGACCAUAAACUUAUCCAGUAAGAAGCUUUGUAUGUUCAGUCAUGCUUGGCUUAAGUUUAUAUAAAUGAUGAAACCAAACCCCUAGUCCAUUUGGCUAUUAGUUCUGAGGUUUCUAUCAAAUAUCCUGAGUUCCGCAUAGAAGUAGGAUUCGACAUUAGGAUCGCUGGCAUGUAUAAAGUCUUGAUCUUGAUCUUCUUCUCAUUAAGAUUUGGAGUGAUAGCUCAGUCACAAACAAAUGUUAUCGUCGAUCUUUCUCAAGACAGGC